AAAAAUCAUUAUCGUUUCUUUCGACUUUCCUUUCAUUUAGCGCUCAAACAUAAAAUCAGUACAGCAAAACUUCCAUAAAAUAAUGAAGAGAAGCCAAAACAGGGGCGUGUGAAGCUCGAGAAUGCCACAUCUGUAAAACCUUAUACAAAAAAUAAAAGAAGCAAUGCCAUUAAACUUCUGAACUCUUCAUUGAAAGAUGCAUUUAAUAAAAUUGAGUUGCAACGAAAUACUUACAAGAACAUCAAAGAAGCUCCUGAGCAGAUCGUUUUAAUAACGCCUUUGAACAACAAAAAAAAAACCGGAAAAAAUUGAGCGGACAAGACGACGAAAUAGGCAACAUUUCCAACCAGUUGAAAUACCAGUGAAGCAAAACUCUUCUUCCUUUAUUCUACAGGCAUUAGAGGAGCAUUUUGCCGCGCAAAUUGAAUCAAUCGCUAAAAUUUUUAGAAGACAUUUUCAAAUGGCCAUGGAAGAUAGCAAAAGCGCAGGCAUAAAAAACAAGUUCAUACAUCCAAAUUACGAAGAAGAUAUGGGAUAUUUUGUGCAACCAACAGAUGCAUGGUCUCAAUGGGAGUUCAAAAAGAAACUAAAAGAAAUUCGUGAGAAAGAAAUGUUGCGCGUAAAUAAACAAAAAAAAGAAAUUUUAAAAUUUGAUGAAAAUUUAAAAUAUUUGGAAAAUACACAUUUCAUAGAUGAAAAAAAUAUUUAAAUAAAAGAAAUAUCAGAUAUGCUGCGAUUCAUAAAAUA